rnacentral:lncRNA from 1 species
GCUCUGUCACCCAGGCUAGAGUACAGUGGUGCAGUCAUGGCUCAAUGCAGCCUCAACCUCCUGGACUCAAGCAAUCCCACCUCCCACCUCAGCCUCCCGAGUAGCUGGGACUACAGUAUGAUGCCGACACCAGCUGUGCAGAAAGGGCUCUGGAGAGAUGUUCAUAGCAGCACACACCUGCGGCUCUUCUUCGGUUCUGGAGGCUCCAGGGCAGCCAAUAUUGCUUCGUCAAAUACAUUCUUUAGGCCUUUCUGUGUAAGUGCAGAACACUCCACAUACUUGACAGCCUUCAGGUCACGGGCCAGCUUUUCAGCAGUCUCUGGAGUGAUAGGCUUCUGUUUGUUCUUGGCAAGUUUCUCAAUAGUAGAGGGGUCAUCUCUGAGAUCAAUUUGAGUCCCAACAAGCAAGAAAGGAGUCUUUGGACAGUGGUGAGUUAUCUCAGGCACCCACUUUUCUUUCACAUUUUCAAAUGAAGAUGGAGAGACCACUGAAAAACAGACUAGAAAUACAUCUGUUUGUGGAUAACUCAGCGGUCGUAAUCUGUCAUAAUCCUCUUGCCCUGCAGUAUCAAAAAGUCCAAGAGUAUAUGGUUCUCCACCAAUCAUAACUGUGACUGCAUAGUUGUCAAAAACAGUCGGUACAUAUUCCGAUGGAAAUUUGUUUGUUGUGUAGGAUAUCAGGAGACAUGUUUUACCAACAGCACCAUCGCCCACAACAACACACUUAAUUGUCUGCAUUGCUGAAAUAGUUUUGUAUCCACUUUAAAUAUUUCAAAUCUGAUGUUGACCUCAGCUUCUCCACCCA